rnacentral:lncRNA from 10 species
GAUGCCCUCUUAGGGUUUGAAAUGUGGGGGAAAAAAAAAGAGAAUCACUGCUUAUCUUAGUCUGUUCGGGUAGCUGUAACAAAAUACCAUACCUGAGUGACUUACAAGUAAUAGAAAUGUUAUUUCUCACAUUUCUGGAGUCUGGGAAGCCCAAGAUCAAGGUGCUAGCAGAUUUGGUGUCUGGUAUCUACUGACCUGGUUAUCGCUUCUUCCUUUAAGGAGUAUUAGAACACUGCUGGGGAUGGGCUGACAAACAUACCAGGGAUUUUACUUUGUGUCAGCCAAGAGGCUUUCCUUACCUCCUUGUCUUCAGUACUCUUGUGCACAAGCAUGCUUCUCAGAGAAGGUGGAUUCUACCUUGGAAGGAAAUGAGUCGUUUCCUCCCAUCAGGACAACUGCCACAGCAUGGUGUCAACUCACUCUUGCCUUUCGUAAAUUGAGUUUGUCAGUGCUCAGCGACACAGCUGAGUGAAAUGUUGUGUGAUGCGGGCUGUCUCCUGGGAGAGAGAAACUGGCAUAAACCACAUCCUAAUGGGAUCCAGAAACAAAGAAGCGUGAAUGAAGUGUUAAUUGCAUUCAUAAAGACAUUAACAAAGGAAUUAAAAUGGCAGAAGCUUCAGUCCCCCACUCAAGAUUCACAGAAAAAUAUGUUAUCCAAAGAAUGUUUCAACAAUAAUCAUCAAAGUUUAUUGCUUGCCCAUUGGGGAAAUAACUCUUGAUACAUAUUAACUUUUCAAAGAACAUUUUGGGUCCAUUAUUUUGAGUAUAUUAACUAACAGACAGUUUAUUCCACCCUACCUCCAGUUCUUUGCUUGCUUUUGUAUGAUUUAAGUUUCAAAAAAAUCCAGAGGCAUUUUCAGUGCUGCUUCAUUAACCAUAAGGAUGUCUGUUAACAGUUUGAACCUAAUCAAUCCUACAGUUCUUAUUAGAGCAAAAUGCUCAUUAUCUGGGAGAAUUUUUGCUUUUUGAAAUAAAAUUACAAGACUGGGGGUUUAUUUUACAGUCCCUCUUGAAUAUUCCUGAGAUGAUCUGCAAUGUGGGCAACCCGGGGCUCCCUCCCCAGCCCUGUGGCAGGGCCCCCCAGCUGCUGACAGCGGGGCUAAGCUGGCAAAAGGUCAGGAGGCUGCAUUUCACUGAAGAUGGAUCGCACAGAUGAAUAUUGCGCUUGCUUAAUGAAGUCAAGGCCACGGAUUUGGGGCCUUUUAUGGUUCUUCUUGUUUCACUCAAUUUCACCUUCAUAGACCACGCCACUAAUCCCAGCCAAUCAUUUUGUAGAUAUGUGCAACUGGUGACUAAGGGACUAGAUAAAAGUAAAUGAAUCUAAAAAACAGUGACCAGAAAUUCAGAAAUCUCUGUGCCUAUAACAAACUCAGAAUUAAAAAAAAAAAGCAUGCAG